CCGUAGAAGCUGGAGCACAUGACCUCUGGUCCCUGUUGUCCCCUGGCCAGCAUGCCGGUGCGUCAGUUCAAGGAUGACCACGACAUCAUCUGUGGCACCAUCAUUUGUUCCUGCUGCCGAGAGACCUGGGGCCAUGGGAGGGACUCCAGAAGCGCCAGGUGCUCGGCCCUGCUCGGAGCAGGCUGCAAGGAAUCCAGCUUGCUGACCACCAGCCUUGCCCACAGUCCUUGGCGGGGGUCAGAGUUCUGUCACCUCCCCCCCUUAGAUCAAUAACUUCCAGACUACUGUCAGCAAAUCUCUGACCUGUGACCUGGCCACACAUGGUGACCCCUGAACCUAUUGGUCUUUCCACCAAUCCUUGCCUUGGUUUCUGGGGUGGGUGAGGGGCUGGCCCCUGGCUCUGGCCCAGGCUUCAAGAGGAAGGAGGGUGUGUGGCUAUCUGUCCCUGCACGCCCAGUCUCUUCCCCUUCCUUCAGACAAGGGGCUGAUGCAUAGUCUGACCCUAUAGGCGGAGGCUCUGUGUGCAGGCCCCGUGCAGCUCCAGGGCCCAGGGAGGCCAUGAAUAGAGAUUUGAAAAGCCCUCUGAGGCUGAGGAACUGUGGGAACUCCAGCCUCAGGGUAGCUUCCUGCGUUGUUUCCAACAUCUCCAGUGUCCCCAAAGCUACCUAGUAGUGUCCAACUUCUGUGCCUUGGGCUUGGAUUCUGGGUCUCAGCAUGGUCUGGUUGAAGUGGGGUGUAGAGGGAGGUACCAUACAGUCGCCAUUCGGGCCAGUCCUCAAAGCCCUGGGGAUGGGGAGAUAUUUUCUUGCUAAUCCAGACGGUCCUUCCCAGCACCAAGUCCAACCUGCCAGCCUGAGAUCAAGCGUGGACAUGGACAGAGAAAGGGGCUACUCAACGGCCCCCCUUGUGCUCCCUGGGGUCGUAUGCCCUGUGCCCUAGCUGGUAGGGGCACUGAUGUGUCGGCUCCUGUCCCGCCCUCUCUUCCGGCUCUGCUUGAGAGAUCUUCUCACACUGUGGCUCUGCUGGGAUGCCAGGAACCCACUCUUCUGACCACUCCAAUUGCAACUCCAGAGCUCCGUGGAAGACACCACUGACCUGAGACUGAGGGACGGCAAGACCACGUGACCCUUACCUGGCUCCUCAGAGGAGAUGCCUUCUGUUCUCUGGGGGACUCUGCAAGUCCCACCUAGGACCUCAGCCCCUCUCUGUCUCAGGUCUGAGAUCAUCUGCUACCGGGAGGAACAAGGGCCCAGACUCCAACAGAGAGAAACUUCCCCUCCCAGGAGAGGAAGAGGAGAAGCAGAGGAGGAAGGGCAGAGAAGAGGAACAGGGGAGAGGUGUGAGAAGCUGUCUAUUAACAUGGAAGAUGUGGGAGACACCUCUGGUCGGAGCGAGAUCCACCAUCGGUCCCGAGAUACUGGAAGGCCUGUCCCAGACCUCAGAUCCUUGAACCUUGAGCUGAUGGGGGCAAAGGGCCCAUCUUGGAGAUGGAGGCCCUGGGGGCCUCUGACUCACUUCUUGACAUUCCACCCUGGGGCUGGCUAGACCCUGCUAACUCAAAGAGCCCCGGGCGCCACUGAGCUGUGGACCUGCUGGGGGCCAUUCGGGGAAUUAGCUGGAAAAGGUGGGGCGGGGAGAGCAGGUGAGGGCUUGUGUGGGCUCCUGGGAGCAGCUGGCUUUUCACAGGCCUGAGGGCUCUUCCAGGAGGUCACAGGCAGUGGGCAGUGGGAUUCCCAGCAUCCAGGCUGCCACACCUUCCUGGGAGGUGGGUUGGGCAGGGGGCAGGGUGCGAAGGGCGAGGCAGAGGCAGGUGUGGAGGUGCAUGCCUGACCAUCCUGGAACUCCCUGUGCAGACCAAGCUGUCCUCAAAAUCACAGACAGCCACCUGCAUCUGUCUUGGGAGUGCCUGGGCCGAAGUUGUGCGCCACCCCACCCCGGCACUGGGUUUUUCCUUUCUUUGUCGCCAUGAACCCACUUGGUCUAACUAGUGCUGCCCUCGGCUUGAUCGCAGGCAGUGAGUUCAGGGGUGCGAUGGCUCCUGCCUUUGCUCUUGGUUCCUCACUGCAUGCUGAGUCGCAACCGUGAGCCCUGGCCACUGCUCACUAGGGCCUUCUGUCUGGCAUCCACGGCGGUGGAGAUGGAAGCCACCUGAUAACCUGGGAAAGAAAACGAAAAAGCUGCCGACUUCUGAGAGGCACAAUCCCCACACCCACUCCUUCCUGGUGCGGUGGGGGAUGGGGGAGCUUGGAAAGAAGCACCUCAGAGAACAGUACAGACACCUUCUCUCUGGAGGGUCCCAUGCCUGGUCUGGCACAGGUCAUCCUGCCUACUUUGGCUGUGCCUGGCCCCUGACUCCUCCUGACUAGGUGCAAGUUCCAACCUCCAUCUCUAGCUCUGGCCCUCCCAGAGUCUGGAGAGCCAGCCGACUGGGCAGGAGUCAUACUCCCAGAGAGGACAAGAUGAAACUAGGAAGUGGCCCCCGGUGCCAUGCAAGUGUCCGCCUGCCAUUCCUUCCGGGUGUGGGGGCGGCUGCUCCUGAACAGGGCCUUAGUCACUCUCUGUCAGGAACCCUAUGCAGAGCCUCUGAGAAAUGCCGCAGGCCUCCACAGCUGGACUCCCUGGGGCUGACCCAAAAGCCCACGCUCAAGCUGCCUGCCGGGGACUACUGGCCAGGCUCACUUGUGCCUGUCUCUGCUGCCGUUGGUCCAUGGGGAAGCCAGCCUCUCUCUGCCAGCGCCUGGGCUUUCUCACCCAGAGGUGGGACACAGAGCUUCACCCUGUGGUUUCUUUUCUCAAGGGCUCCCUGGGUUCCCACGGCAUCCAGGAAAAGCCUGACAUCUGGAGCCUCUGGGGACUUCUUACGCUGACAACCUCUGAUGGUACCCUUUGCCGGAUCCUGCCCCAGCAGGACAUCUACCCUCAGUCCCACAUCAAGACCUGCACAGAGCCAGGCUUGAGCUCUCUUUCCCGUACAUUAGGCUUUGAACCUAGGCCCUGUGGAAGGCCUGUGGUGCUUUCAUCACUGCAAUGGCUGCUUUUAUGUCAACUUGACAUAAGCUAGAGCCAUCAGAGAGGAGGGAGGCUUCUUUGAGGAAAUGCCUCUGUGAGAUGGGGCUGUAGGCAUGCCCAAAGGGCAUUUUCUUUCUUGUUGUUUUUUUGUUUUUUGAAACAGGAUUUCCCUGUGCAACAGCCAUGGCUGUCUUGGAACUUGAUUUGUAGACCAGGCUGGCUUCUAACUCACAGAGAUUCGCCUGCCUCUGCUUCCUGAGUGCUGGGAUUAAAGAUGUAUGCCACCACCCCUGGCUCAUAGGGCAUUUUCUUUUCUGUUUCAUUGUUUUCCGAGACAAGGUUUCUCUGUGUAGCCUUGGCUGUCCUGGACUCACUUUGUAGACCAGGCUGGCCUCAAACUCACACAGCUCCACCUGCCUCUGCCUCCCUGAGUGCUGGGAUUAAAGGCAUACACUACCGAAACAUCUGGCAUUUUCUUAAUUAAUGAUUGAUAGUGGAGGGCUCAGCCCAUUUUGGGUGGUGCCAUCCUGGUUCUAUUCCAAAGCAGCCUGAGCAAGCUGGCACAACCUGGUUCUAUUCCAAAGCAGCCUGAGCAAGCCACGAGGAGCAAGCCAGUAAGUAGCAUCCCUCCAUGGCCUCUGUAUCAGCUCCUGCCUCCAGGUUCCAGCCCUUUUUAAGUCCCUGCUUCGCCUUCCUUUGACGAUGAAUGCUGCUGUGCAAGUAUGAGCCAAAUAAGCUCUUUCCUUCCCAGGUUUCUUGGGUCCCGGGGUUUCAGCACAGCAACAGUGACCUCAACUAAGACAAUCACGGAGGUGACGGUAUAGCUUUCCGGUUAUCGGCAGGGUUGGAAGCCUGGCCGGGGGGUUUCUAUGCAAUGUGGGCUAGAAGGGUCCGUGAACCUCAGGUGCUCAGGCAUACAUACAGAGUCCCAGACUCACAACCGAAUGUAGCUGGCUGUACUAUUUUUGCUCUUCUUUAUGGUAUUGCAAAAGGGAUAUGCAUUGAAUAGAAACCAUACUUCAAAUCUAGGACAUGGACCUUUUCUCGGGUGCUUGGUAGGAUUUUCUCUUGUGGUGCCAGGCAGGGGCAGCGGCUGCAGCAGAACACAGUUCCUGGGCAGCCCCGGGAUUACAAAGAGAGAAUUGACAGUCUCUGCUGCUCUGGAUUCUUAAGCUAUGAAGCCUGGUAGGGUGGAAGUACCCAGCGCAUUCUCCGCUUCGUCUGCUUUGUACCGCCAUAACAAAAACGGGCCGAGAUUGGGUGGUUUAUAACUUAAAGACUUUACAAAGUGUAAGCUAAGGCACGGUAGUACACUCCCGUGAUUUGAGCUGUGUGAGGAGGUGGAGCAAGAGGGCUUCAAGUCUGAAGACAGCCUGGGCAGCUGAGGGAGACCUUAUCCCCAAAGUGACUGAGCAAACGUUUCGGUUUGGCCCACAGUUCUGGAGCCUUGGAAAUGCAGAGCACAGGGUUGGCCUCUGCUGGCAUGUGCUGAGGGCUUUCCUGGUUCACCGUAAAGUGAUAACAAGCCUGCAGGCUCUGGGCUUAUGAGACCACUGACGACAUUGCGGGGACUUUAUCCGUAUUAGGGUUCUCAUGUAACCCCAAUAACACCCCGAAGCCUCCUCACCCUCAAUACCAGUCACGUAGGUAUUAGGUUCCUGAUAUAAGUAUUAGGUUUUCAACUUUUAAUAGGUUCACCAGGCUGGGCAUGGAGGCUCACAUCUUUAAUCCCUACACUCAGGAAGUAAGGCAAAGGGAUCUCUGUGAGUUUGUUGCCACCCUGGUCUACAUGGCGAGUUCCAGGAUGCAGUGGCGUCACCGUCAUCAUAAUCAUCAAGAUGCGACUGCAUUUUAUCUUAUUGUCACCGUUAUUCUAUCCAGCCCAUGUUGUUCUUCCCUGUCUACAGCCGUGGCUGGAAGAGGGACCCACGUGUAUCAAUGUCCACAUGUGGAGAGAGACACCAAAUGCUAAUCCGGUUUGAAUAUGAAAUGUCUAAUGCAGCUGAUGUGUUUGAACACUGGUGGUGCUGUUUUGGGAGACUAUACACUUGGGGCUGUGACCCAGCUGGCAGAAGGAGGCCACUGGAGGUGAACCUUGAAGGUGAUAUCUGACACCUGGAUGGAAUUCUUUGCCUCUUGAUCCUGCAAGAACAAGCCACGCUGCAAGCUCCUGCCAUCACGGUCAGCCACCAUAACUGCCAUGCCUUCUUUGCCUCCAUAACUGCCAUGCCUUCUUUGCCUCCAUAACUGCCCUGCCUUCUUUGCCACCAUAACUGCCGUGCCUUCUUUGCCUCCAUAACUGCCGUGCCUUCUUUGCCUCGAGGGACUGAAGUCUCAUAGACUGUGAGCCAAGGAAACUCCCUCUUGUCUACAGUGGCUCCUGUUGUGUAUUUAUUUGGUCACAGCAGCAAGGAAAGUAACUAAUACAGGUGCCCUCAGUAAGGGCACCUGAGGAUGUUGACCACUGGGCAGGCUCAGGCCCUGCUCCCUCUCCCAGACGCCCUCACUCCGGGGCGGACCUAGGGAAUAACAGAGUUUAAGAUACUUCAUGGGUUGACAAGUUGCAUUAGACGAAGGGGCCGGGAAGGCAUACGAAAGAGGCAAUAUUUGAAUAGAAUGCAAAGAAAGAUCAGGUGAGAUGUGGGCAAAGAAUGACUGCAAUCAGGAGAUGGAGGGUUAUCCUCUGACCAUGGCUGACCUUUGACCCUACCCGCAUGACACGGUUCUCUUGUUGCUUUAUCUCCUCAGGCACUUGUCUCAGUUGCUUGUUUUUGUUUUUCAAGACAGGGUUUCUCUGUGUCGCCCUGGCUGUUCCUGAACUCGCUCUGUAGACCAGGCUGGCCUCGAACUCAGAAACCUAUCUUCCUCUGCCUCCCAAUUGCUGGGAUUAAAGGCGUGUGCCACCACUGCCCAGCCGGCUUUCAUCACUUUCAAGAUUGAACGCACCACCCUCUGUGAAGCACCUGUCCGCCAGCAGGCCAGCCUGGAUCACUCCUCAUCUGCCUCGCCAGUCUUGACUCGUUCCAAAGACUCAUGUUUUCAUCAAGCCCCUACCCAGGGCACAGCAUUCUUCAUCUUGAUUAUCUGUCUGCAGUUCGGUUCAGGGUGUGAGAUGGUUUUCCUGAACUCUCUGUUUCUUGAUGAUCCACCAACCUGCCGUCCCCUAAUCUUCCGAGAGCAUUGAUGAAGAAAAGCUUUUUCAGGCUAAUAAAGAUAAGCUUUUUUCACCUUU